rnacentral:rRNA from 1 species
CUCAGUAACGGCGAGUGAAGCGGCAACAGCUCAAAUUUGAAAUCUGGCUCCUUCGGGGUCCGAGUUGUAAUUUGCAGAGGAUGCGUCGGGUACGGGUCCCUACCGAGUUCCCUGGAACGGGACGCCAUAGAGGGUGAGAGCCCCGUCUGGUAGGAUACCCAGCCCAUGUGACGCUCCCUCGACGAGUCGAGUAGUUUGGGAAUGCUGCUCUAACGGGAGGUAUACUCCUUCCAAAGCUAAAUACCGGCUGGAGACCGAUAGCGCACAAGUAGAGUGAUCGAAAGAUGAAAAGCACUUUGAAAAGAGAGUCAAACAGCACGUGAAAUUGUUAAAAGGGAAGCACUCGCUACCAGACUUGGGUUUGGCGGUUCAACCGGGGCCACGCCCCGGGGCAUUCCGCCAGCUCAGGCCAGCAUCAGCUUUCCGUCGGGGGCAAAGACGUCGGGAAUGUGGCUCCCCCUCGGGGGAGUGUUAUAGCCCGGCGUGUCAUACCCUUCGGGGGGCUGAGGUACGCGCUUCUGCAAGGAUGCUGGCGUAAUGGUAGCUAGUGACCCGUCUUGAAACACGGACCAAGGAGUCAACCUUAUGUGCGAGUGCCCGGGCGUAAAACCCCAGCGCGGAAUGAAAGUGAACGUAGGUGAGAGCUUCGGCGCAUCACCGACCGAUCCUGAUGUCCUCGGACGGAUUUGAGUGAGAGCAUAUAGGGUUGGACCCGAAAGAAGAUGAACUAUGCGUGUGUAGGGUGAAGCCAGAGGAAACUCUGGUGGAGGCUCGCAGCGGUUCUGACGUGCAAAUCGAUCGUCAAACAUGCGC